rnacentral:rRNA from 1 species
UGGGGAAUAUUGCACAAUGGGCGAAAGCCUGAUGCAGCAACGCCGCGUGAGUGAUGAAGGUCUUCGGAUUGUAAAGCUCUGUCUUUUGGGACGAUAAUGGACGGUACCAAAGGAGGAAGCCACGGCUAACUACGUGCCAGCAGCCGCGGUAAUACGUAGGUGGCGAGCGUUGUCCGGAUUUACUGGGCGUAAAGGGUGCGUAGGCGGAUGUUUAAGUGAGAUGUGAAAUACCCGGGCUUA